rnacentral:rRNA from 1 species
GAUGAACGCUAGCUACAGGCUUAACACAUGCAAGUCGCGGGGCAGCAUUUUCUUAGCUUGCUAAGGAAGAUGGCGACCGGCGCACGGGUGAGUAACGCGUAUCCAACCUUCCCAUGUCCACGGGAUAGCCCGUCGAAAGGCGGAUUAAUACCGUAUGAGGUCACAUGCGGGCAUCUAAUUGUGACGAAAGGUUUAGCGGACAUGGAUGGGGAUGCGUCCGAUUAGCUAGUUGGCGGGGUAACGGCCCACCAAGGCGACGAUCGGUAGGGGUUCUGAGAGGAAGGUCCCCCACAUUGGAACUGAGACACGGUCCAAACUCCUACGGGAGGCAGCAGUGAGGAAUAUUGGUCAAUGGACGGGAGUCUGAACCAGCCAAGUAGCGUGCAGGAUGACGGCCCUAUGGGUUGUAAACUGCUUUUAUAGGGGGAUAAAGUGUGCCACGUGUGGCAUAUUGCAGGUACCCUAUGAAUAAGGACCGGCUAAUUCCGUG